rnacentral:rRNA from 1 species
CGGACGGGUGAGUAAUGUCUGGGAAACUGCCUGAUGGAGGGGGAGUAACUACUGGAAACGGUAGCUAAUACCGCAUAACGUCGCAGGACCAAAGAGGGGGACCUUCGGGCCUCUUGCCAUCAGAUGUGCCCAGAUGGGAUUAGCUAGUAGGUGGGGUAACGGCUCACCUAGGCGACGAUCCCUAGCUGGUCUGAGAGGAUGACCAGCCACACUGGAACUGAGACACGGUCCAGACUCCUACGGGAGGCAGCAUG